rnacentral:rRNA from 1 species
AGUUUGAUCUUGGUUCAGGAUGAACGCUGGCGGCGUGCCUAAUACAUGCAAGUCGAGCGAAUGGAUUAAGAGCUUGCUCUUAUGAAGUUAGCGGCGGACGGGUGAGUAACACGUGGGUAACCUGCCCAUAAGACUGGGAUAACUCCGGGAAACCGGGGCUAAUACCGGAUAACAUUUUGAACUGCAUGGUUCGAAAUUGAAAGGCGGCUUCGGCUGUCACUUAUGGAUGGACCCGCGUCGCAUUAGCUAGUUGGUGAGGUAACGGCUCACCAAGGCAACGAUGCGUAGCCGACCUGAGAGGGUGAUCGGCCACACUGGGACUGAGACACGGCCCAGACUCCUACGGGAGGCAGCAGUAGGGAAUCUUCCGCAAUGGACGAAAGUCUGACGGAGCAACGCCGCGUGAGUGAUGAAGGCUUUCGGGUCGUAAAACUCUGUUGUUAGGGAAGAACAAGUGCUAGUUGAAUAAGCUGGCACCUUGACGGUACCUAACCAGAAAGCCACGGC